GGUUCGAGGUGGAAGCGUAGCGAUACGUGGAGCUGACGAAUACUAAUCGAUCGAAGACUUAAUCAAU
rnacentral:rRNA from 1 species